CAGGGAGACAACAAAAUGUUUAAUAUUAUUAUUUUGUCACCUUAGGUCGAUCGGUAUCUCACAUCCUUAAUUAAUUAAGGAUUUUAUUUCCUAAGUUUUUCUAGGUCACACCCAUUAUUUUUCCUGGGCCAUUAGCUCAGGUGGUUAGAGCGCACCCCUGAUAAGGGUGAGGUCCCUGGUUCAAGUCCAGGAUGGCCCAUAUCUCUAUGUUGGGGGUAUAGCUCAGUUGGUAGAGCGCCUGCUUUGCAAGCAGGAUGUCAGCGGUUCGAGUCCGCUUACCUCCACUGAUUACCACCUCUUCCAUAAUUUUUAAGGAAAUGUUUUGAGUUGUGAUCAAAUUCUGAACGAAUCUAGCUUCCUAAUGAAAUCAUUAAGAUGCUGGACUCAUUGAAUUAAAUUCAUUGUUUUCAGAGAACCUUGACAACUGCAUAGAUUAUUUUUAAAGACAAUAAGCAUCUUUAAUGAUGCAGAUUUAUUAUUUGUGCGAAUGCAUUAAUAACAAUUCUAUUAAGCUGAUGCUUCAAUUUUUGAAGUUAUU
rnacentral:tRNA from 1 species